CUUGAAUUACAAUAUGCUGAAAGGUUAUUAUGGAUUUUUUGCCCAAUUAUGCCAAAAAUAUACUGAUAUACCCCCCACUUUAAUCUCCCACUGAGAAAUACAUCUCUGAGUAAAACUAGAAUUACCGCCUCGCGGUUGUACGCCUCCGCCAACCAGUCAAGUUGCAGUUCACAUCCAUGUCUGUCCUAAAUGUCAUCACGUCAUCAUUUGAUCCUGUUAGACAUUUGUGUGAAAUUGUCAUAAUUAGAUGAUGAGUUCUUGAGUUAUGGCCAAAAACAGGUUUUGUUAGGUCACAGUGACCUUUGACCUUUGUAAUACAAAUUCUCAUCAGUUCAUCCUUGCAUCCAAGUUUCCACUAUGGUUGAUUACUAUAAACUCACUAUUUAGUAUAUCAAACUCAGAUGCCAUAACCUUCUGGUUACAGUAUGUUCCAUUUCAGACAAGUGUAGACAUUAAUAUAAGAGUUUAAACUCUGUGAAAAUGUCCAUGAGGCCAAAUGACUGAAUGACCUCAUCUUAUCAUUUCAUCUCACCAUAGUGACACAGGACAGGGAUAUGGCAGAGCAUUUAAAACCCAGUGUCUUUGAGUACACACACACUGUGCAUUUAUUACAAAGCCAGCAUAACAAAACAUGUGUUAGUGCUAAUACUUUCUGACUGCACUGUGUGUCUAACCAACUUUUUAAAUGAUCCAGUUUCAGGUCUGCCUGUAUGGUAGCGCCCAAGACAGAUCCUAUUUAUGAACCACAAACACUGUACUUGAACAUCUGGUCUUCAAACACUGGGAUACUGCCGUCUCGUGUUUGAGCAUGAGUAACCUACACAAGUGUUGAACUUGUUUUUAUAGUGGAGUAAUACAAGAGGUGUUCCUACAGGUUGAGAAUCUACUGUUGAUGUUUAAAGACGUAGUCUCAUAUAUUGAUGAGAUGGGGUGAUACGUAUACUUUGCUGCAUUUUUAGGUCUAUAGUUUCACUUAUUUACAUAAGGCUGCAAGUACACAAUCUUACUUUGCAUUGUAUGUUUGCUGACUACAAACAUGAGGCAGUAGUUUCAUGCUUGUUCAUUGUUUUCAUUUUGACAGGUUUGGCACCCUCCAUGGACUUUAGCUCCUGUGUACACGUCUAUAUGUGUGACUGUCAUGUGCCUAACCAUAUAUUCCCACUCACCGCCUGCUAUCAAGUGUUAGUUGAUGCUAUAUGACAUAUGCAUAAACUGGAAGGAGGAGUUUGAAAUGAGAAGAAAAACUCACAAAAGAAAUCCAUCACAUGACUAAGGAGGUGUCAAAGGUCAGUCAUAUAUGUAACUGUUGGCUGGGAUCAGAGCUUUCCAAAGUUGCUCAUUAUAGCUACACUCCAGAUCCACCUCGGCUAAAUCAGAAGGACUGAUAAGCAGAAAUCGCCAAUUUAGGCAGAGCUGGCGAGCUUGUUUAAGAUCAGCAGUAUAUAGGCUACCUGCUGGGUGAGAGGGGAGAGUCAGGUAAACUGUUGAAAGAGCGCAAACACAAGGAGAAAUGUUUGCUCUUCCCUCCAGCUGUUGAAUGCCACAGAAGCCCGAAGUUUCAGUGGGAGCAACAUGAUCUCUCAGGAUGAAUUCCCACACGAGUGGAUGAAUGGUGUUGGCGAAGAUAGAGGCAACGGCUGGUCUCCAACUAGAAGAAAGGGAACCAGUUUGGGGGAAUACAGCCAACUGUCUCUGGGAGACAGCAGCGACACCUCAGAGCCUUCGGCCCUGGACACUGCACCGCUCUUCCCACUGAUGGAGACAAAGUUGUACAAGCGGCGGUGGCUCAUGCUGUUCGUCUUCAGCGCUUUCUCCAUGAGCAACAGCUUCAUGUGGCUGCAGUACGGCAUCAUCGGCGACAUCUUCAUGCGCUUCUACAACGUCGGCUCACUGGCCAUUGACUGGCUCUCCAUGCUCUACUUCCUCACCUACAUCCUCGUCGUCCUGCCUGUCAUGUGGGCGCUCGACAACCGGGGCAUCAGGGAGGUCAUGGUGGUGGCCGCAGCCUUCAACUGCAUCGGGGCCUGGAUCAAGACGGGCACAGCCGACCCCGACGCGUUUGCCAUGACCGUCUUCGGACAGUUUGUGUGUUCGGUGGCCGCUAUGUUACUGGGCAUCCCGUCCAGACUUGCGUCUCUGUGGUUUGGGGAGCAGGAGGUCUCCACCGCCUGUUCCAUUGCUGUUUUGGGAAACCAGCUGGGUAUCGCCAUCGGGUUCCUGCUCCCGCCCAUCCUGGUGCCUAAUGUGGACGAUGUGGAGGAGCUGGCGAGCCACAUUAGAAUCAUGUUCUACAUCAGCGCAGGAGUGGCCACCUUCAUCUUCAUCCUCGUGGUCAUUGUGUUUCAGGAGAAACCAGAGAUCCCUCCCACGCAGGCCCAGGCUCAGGCCAGGAGCAUCUCCCGUGACGAUUACUCGUACAUGGCUUCUUUCUUGAGGCUGCUGCGCAACAAGCCCUUCAUGCUCCUGGUGGUCAGCUACGGGCUGAACGUUGGCUGUUUCUACUCUAUUUCCACGCUGUUGAAUCGGAUGAUCAUUGAACACUAUCCAGGUGAAGAGGUGAAUGCUGGGAGAGUUGGUCUGACUAUUGUCGUUGCUGGCAUGGCGGGGUCCCUCAUAUGUGGCAUUUGGCUCGAUAAGACCAAAACUUACAAACAAACCACCUUGGUCGUAUAUCUCCUCUCUCUGGUCGGGAUGCUGGUCUACACCUUCACCCUCAACCUGGGCCACCUGUGGGUGGUGUUUCUCACAGCUGGAGUUUUAGGCUUCUUCAUGACAGGAUAUCUACCUCUGGGCUUUGAGUUUGCAGUAGAGCUCACCUAUCCAGAGUCCGAGGGAACCUCAUCUGGACUGCUCAACUGUUCAGCUCAGAUCUUUGGAAUCAUUUUCACCAUCUCCCAGGGGAAGAUUAUUGAUAGAUGGGGCACUUUUGGGGGAAACAUCUUCCUGUGUAUCUUCCUGCUAAUAGGAGCAGCACUGACAGCACUCAUCAAGUCCGACCUCCGGCGACAGAGGGCCAACCUUCAGAAGACCGAGGUGCAGACCGUGAGUCCUACAGGCUCCGUGUCAGUGUUGCAGGACUACGGCGCCACAGUGUGCGACGACCGCUGGCAACGGAAGCCUUGACAUACUGUAAACCCACAACCUCACUAAAACCAAAACACACACCUGGAAAGACAGUGACAGCGGAUCUAGAGGGGGCCGUCUCUCCUCCUGAAGUCCUGAAACAGGGGAAGUUAUAAGGAGGACACACUGUCAAAGACACCGUGUACAAAUGAAAACAGAAAUACUGACAACAUGCAAAAACAUGCACACAUGGCAGCUGCUGUGAAGGGUGAGCACAUGGAGAGUGAAUCACACUGAGCAGCCCUCUGAGAGUCCUUAAGAACCAGCAGACCUGCUGUACAUCCGAUGUACUGUGUGGACGCCACGCUCUGACCUCAACACCAGAGAUUCACACUGACAUCCCAAAGUGCAACUUAGCUCAUCCCAAACAAGCACAAGUCAAUCAAGCACAAGGGGAACGCACGUGGAACCUCAAUGGUUUUUACACCCCGAGAUCAAAUCAUCUUUGUAAACAUUAAUUUUAUCCAAUAUGUAGGCAUUUUAAACACGUCUUGUCGGAGCAAUUUAGUGACUCCAACAUUACUCCACUUCUUUAACUGAUUUGUUCCCUACCGUUUUACCGUCCCCCUCUGAUUAGUGUUGUUCUAUGCACCUAAUGAGCAAUAUUUAAACUGUGAGUGUUUCUUGAUAUUGGACCAAUAUUGUGUGUAACUGUGUCGUGUUUUCCUGUCAUGGCAGUCAGCUCAAUCGUAUCCUCUCUGUCUGCCAUUCAGGAUCACAUGGAAGUAAAACUUCUGCAUACUGCUGAUUAUAAAUAUGAUUGAUGCUGUGCAUCAGUUCUGAUUACUGUAAGUGAUCUCCACAAAACACGUGGUGAGAAACAUCUGAAUUAACAUGCGAGAGCGUCUGGAAUAUGACAGAUGUCGGCACAGCACAAAACAUGAUGGAAGGCAGAUCAAUCUACUGUAGUUGUCAUUUUGCACAAGAACAUGUUUUAUGUGUGAUACUACUUAGCUUGUAAUAGUGUUACUGAGAAAUGUAGUUCAUGCUGUGUAGCCAGUGUUUUUUACAGUUUGUCAUUAACAUGUUUUACUUGAUGUGUUGUGGUGAGCUGUCUGGUGGUUUCCCUGUUUUAUAAUGUCUGUUAUGUGAUUUUCAGAGGUGCUAGUUAUUCUUUCAGUGGUAUUUUUAGGAUGUCACAGUGCUGUGAAAAACUCUACCUGCUUAGUCUUUUUUUCUAUUUUGACUGGAUACACAGUGCAGUGUUUCCUAUGACACUAAGAAAAUGAAUCAAGUAAAAACAAAUCAAUGCAUUAAAAACAUUAAUGAGAGGA